rnacentral:rRNA from 1 species
UACGUAGGGGGCUAGCGUUGUUCGGAAUUACUGGGCGUAAAGCGCGCGUAGGCGGUUAGAUAAGUCCGGUGUGAAAGCCACAGGCUCAACCUGUGAAUGCCGCUGGAAACUGUCUGGCUUGAGUCCGGAAGGGGCGAGUGGAAUUCCUGGUGUAGCGGUGAAAUGCGCAGAUAUCAGGAGGAACACCAAUGGCGAAGGCAGCUCGCUGGAACGGUACUGACGCUGAGGAGCGAAAGCGUGGGGAGCGAACAGG